rnacentral:rRNA from 1 species
UGCGUAGGCGGUCCUGUAAGUAUGGUGUGAAAUCUCCCGGCUUAACUGGGAGGGUGCGCUAUAAACUGCGGGACUAGAGUGUGGGAGAGGAAAGUGGAAUUCCUGGUGUAGCGGUGAAAUGCGUAGAUAUCAGGAGGAACACCGGUGGUGUAAACGGCUUUCUGGACCAUAACUGACGCUGAGGCACGAAAGCGUGGGUAGCAAACAGGAUUAGAUACCCUGGUAGUCCACGCCCUAAACGAUGCAUAUUUGGUGUGGGUCAUUCAGUUGAUCCGUGCCGGAGCUAACGCGUUAAAUAUGCCGCCUGGGGAGUACAGUCGCAAGGCUGAA